UACGAAGGGGGCUAGCGUUGCUCGGAAUCACUGGGCGUAAAGCGCACGUAGGCGGAUUGCUAAGUCAGGGGUGAAAUCCUGGAGCUCAACUCCAGAACUGCCUUUGAUACUGGCGAUCUUGAGUCCGGGAGAGGUGAGUGGAACUCCGAGUGUAGAGGUGAAAUUCGUAGAUAUUCGGAAGAACACCAGUGGCGAAGGCGGCUCACUGGCCCGGUACUGACGCUGAGGAGGCGAAAGCGUGGGGAGCGAACAGG
rnacentral:rRNA from 1 species